UACGGAGGGUGCAAGCGUUAUCCGGAAUCAUUGGGUUUAAAGGGUCCGCAGGCGGUCUUAUAAGUCAGUGGUGAAAGCCUACAGCUCAACUGUAGAACUGCCAUUGAUACUGUAAGACUUGAAUUCGGUCGAAGUGGGCGGAAUAUGACAUGUAGCGGUGAAAUGCUUAGAUAUGUCAUAGAACACCGAUAGCGAAGGCAGCUCACUAGGCCUGGAUUGACGCUCAGGGGCGAAAGCGUGGGGAGCAAACAGG
rnacentral:rRNA from 1 species